AUUGAACGCUGGCGGCAUGCCUUACACAUGCAAGUCGAACGGCAGCACGGGAGCAAUCCUGGUGGCGAGUGGCGAACGGGUGAGUAAUAUAUCGGAACGUGCCCAGUCGUGGGGGAUAACGUAGCGAAAGCUACGCUAAUACCGCAUACGAUCUAUGGAUGAAAGCGGGGGAUCGCAAGACCUCGCGCGAUUGGAGCGGCCGAUAUCAGAUUAGCUAGUUGGUGGGGUAAAAGCUUACCAAGGCGACGAUCUGUAGCUGGUCUGAGAGGACGACCAGCCACACUGGAACUGAGACACGGUCCAGACUCCUACGGGAGGCAGCAGUGGGGAAUUUUGGACAAUGGGCGAAAGCCUGAUCCAGCAAUGCCGCGUGCAGGACGAAGGCCUUCGGGUUGUAAACUGCUUUUGUACGGAGCGAAACGGCCUCUUCUAAUACAGGGGGCUAAUGACGGUACCGUAAGAAUAAGCACCGGCUAACUACGUGCCAGCCGCCGCGGUAAUAC
rnacentral:rRNA from 1 species